rnacentral:rRNA from 1 species
UACGGGGGGGGCAAGCGUUGUUCGGAUUCACUGGGCGUAAAGGGUGCGUAGGCGGUCGGGUAAGUCUGACGUGAAAUCUUCAAGCUCAACUUGGAAACUGCGUCGGAUACUAUUCGGCUAGAGGAAUGGAGGGGAGACUGGAAUACUUGGUGUAGCAGUGAAAUGCGUAGAUAUCAAGUGGAACACCAGUGGCGAAGGCGAGUCUCUGGACAUUUCCUGACGCUGAGGCACGAAAGCCAGGGGAGCAAACGGG